UACGGGGGGGGCGAGCGUUGUUCGGAAUCACUGGGCGUAAAGGCGCGUAGGCGGCCCGCACAAGUCUGCGGUGAAAACCCCCGGCUUAACCGGGGGCCGGCCGUGGAAACUGUCGGGCUGGAGGCUGGGAGAGGGCAGCGGAAUUCCCGGUGUAGCGGUGAAAUGCGUAGAGAUCGGGAGGAACACCGGCGGCGAAGGCGGCUGCCUGGACCAGUCCUGACGCUGAGGCGCGAAAGCUAGGGAGCAACAGGGAUA
rnacentral:rRNA from 1 species